rnacentral:rRNA from 1 species
UACGGAGGAUGCGAGUGUUAUCCGGAUUUAUUGGGUUUAAAGGGUGCGCAGGCGGCACGGCAAGCCGGCGGUCAAAUCGCGGGGCUCAACCCCGCCCAGCCGUCGGAACUGCCGGGCUAGAGUGGGCGAGAAGUGCGCGGAAUGCGUGGUGUAGCGGUGAAAUGCAUAGAUAUCACGCAGAACUCCGAUUGCGAAGGCAGCGCACCGGCGCCCUACUGACGCUCAGGCACGAAAGCGUGGGUAUCGAACAGG